CCCUCAAGGAUCUCAGGAAAAAGCACCAGUGCAUGAAACCCCCUGUGGUCUGCCACCAGUCUCCCUCUCCCCUCCCCCAGUCUCUGACGUGGCCUUCGCACCUCACUCUCCCCUCAGCCUUGGCUACUUCUUUUGCCUGGAGACAUCCCAUCACCAGCCAACAGCGUUUUGUCUGUGAAACCAGCUGGGUCAUUUCCCUCCUCCCACCUUACUGCUCGAAAAUGGUCUAUCGGUCUGUCCUCAAGACGGCAUGUGAGCUCCUUGUUUGGGCCCCAUUCUCUCUAUAUCCACUGGCCUUGAGUGUCAGGAAAGUGAGUGGACGUCCUUGGGCGAGACCAAGGCCUUGCAGGCACCCCUUCUCUUGGACCAUUUUGUUAAGAUACAGGACACACUGGUGUGUCGCAGCGUUCCUUUAACUGGCUAGCAAAAACCCGGGGCGGGGGGCAUCCUGGCUCCUCCCUUUCCUGUUACUCCCACCUCCUCAAUCUCCAAGGACCCGUGCACUUUGCCAGGGAACCCGCCACACACAUAUCCAAGUCUUUCUAGCCCUGGAUUCCCACCCUCAAUCACCCAAGUCUGGUCAUGUCCUUUCCUUGCAAACAUUCCCCGGGAUGCCCCAGAUGAAAUCUGUCCUUCGAGGUGGGUCCGCCAGGUCAGGCGCUGGUCACCUGUUUGGCCUUUUCUCAGACCAUCUUGGCCCCAGUGCCCACUCCUUCCAGCCCUGCAGACCACUGGGAGCUUUUCGGGCAUUCUGUACCCAUACCCCUUUGCCACCGUCCUUGGGUGUGGUUACUGUUUCACCUGCCCCUCUCCCGAGGGACCUUGAGCUGGGGCCAAACCUCCCAGCCCCAGCACAAGGCCUGACCCUGCAUGGGGCUCCAUCUCUCUCUCUGUGUUUCCCUGGACCCUGCCGGACGCUGAGAUACCAGUCCUUGCCCGACCCCCACAGGUGCUGACCCACCCUCCAUGGCUGGCCUGCCAGUACAGAACAGACGCAUCUCAUCCUGUUCUAGCCCUUCACCACUACGACACCAGCAUCCCUGGGGUGGGUGUCAGACUACAAGGCCCUCACCCAAUUGGGACCCAUUGCUUUGCAGAGUAGGCAGCUGAGGCUGCAAGGAGCAGACCUGUCAGCACCCCCAAGUUAGGAGAUGGGGUGGGAACAGCUGCAGGCCAUUGGUUAUGAGUGUUGGAGUCUGCACCAGCUAUAUGAUACUGAGAAGAUCCCCUCAGCUCUCUGGACCUCCAUCCUCAUCUGUAAAAUGGGGAUGACAGUGGGCUGUGCCUUGUGGGGCUGUUCAGGGACAUUCUGCCCCUAAAGGGAUUAGUGCCCACAGUGAAGGUGCUGUUGUGUCACCCAUUAUCAUGAACGGACCCAGACGCUUGGCACUUUGUCCAGGGACUUCCCACCCAUACAUGAGAGGCGGGGGCUGGGUUCAAUCAGCAAGUGGGGGCUGACCGUGGCCCCCCAAAAGACCCUUGUGGGGGCCUUUCCCAUGGAGGAGCUUGCACCCUGGGUGGCUCGAGUUCUUAGGGGGUGGGUUGCAGGAGGUGGCUCUGGUUGAAGAUGCUUGGCAGAGGGUCCAGUGACCUGGGGACAGCAGGGAAGGCCCACUCUGAGGUAGGAAGCCUGCACCCUAGUGCUCCAGGGGGUGGCCCCUGCCCAGCAGGAGAAGGGCAAGGAGGUGACUCAUCAGCAUAAAGGAGGUGACCUGGGCACCCUGGCCCAGCCACAGCACCCACCACCCACAUGGAUAUCCUGCCCCUGCCUCCUGUUUCUUCCCUACCCAGAAGACCAAGGUGAGCUCCCAGGGGGUGUCGUGGCUGCCACCCUACAGACGGACCACACUUGGAGUAACAAGGAGCAAAUGCGACUCUGUACUGCCCCCUGGCGGCCUUGUUGAAAGGUGUUCGCAUUGGUCCAAUGGGCACCCCAUCUCUCAGAGCAGAGCUGGCAGCUCCGGGGCUGGAAUCCUGUCCGCUGUCUGUCCGAUGCUGGGGUCUUGGAUGGAAGAACCCCUCAGGGAAAGACUGAAAUUUGACCUGUGGCCAGCAAGGGGCGCUGUGGCCUCGUCCCAGGGUGUCCUCGCGUGGGCUGCUCACAGCCGCCUCCCAGUCUUGGAUUGAGCUUCCUGCUCACUGAUGCAGACUCAGUGGCAGACUCCACGGCACCUGGACUUGUGUACUGACCCAGCAGCUGCUUCCUUCCUUUCCUUGUCAUGCAGAAAACUCUAUGUCAAGCCCCAGCCAUGCCAGUGUCCCAGAUCAGUGCUGAUUUUUGAAGGGCGCGCCUCUGCCUCACCCUCCUCCAGUCAAUAGCUGUGGCCACCACCUAAGGGCGGACAAGCCCAUCAUCACUGGCAGUGUUCACAUUCUUUGCAAUGUGAUUUUCCCAUUUCUACGCUCCAUUUUCCCUCUAUGCUCCACAAUCUUACAAGCUAUAAACCAGAAUAAACUCAUCAUCAGAUUUCUCUAGAAAUCUUUCUUCUCAGUCACUUGGGGUUGGCUUCAUACCAUUUUGCCUGAGCUCAACUAAACCACGUUAGCAGAAUUCUCUUCCCUGCAUGGCUUGGCUAGGAUGAGGUGUAGGGGAACACUCACGGAAGAUCUGGAAGUUGAAUGCAAUGCUGCGUCAUUGUUUCUGUGCCAGGGGUCACUGCCAGCACUGAGGUUAACGUGGGAGAGAUGGGUAUAAAUUUGCCUAUGUUGCUUUCUUUCCCAACUGUGGAUCUGGAUAACCUAGAGCGAGCUCAGGCUCAACAGUAGAGGAGAGGCAGUAGCCUGUGAAUAUUGCUCCACCGCUCACACCCCGGCAAAACAUCCACCCUCCUAGUAAUCCUUUGCUCUGUAUCCUUCACAGUGAUUCUGCUUCCCUAGUCAACCCUGACUGACACUUACCUAAAUCGGGACCCUCGUACACAUCAGGACUCUCCAUCUGCCUCCAAAAUCUUUUGAAUUAACAUAGUCCUCUUGGUCUCCACUGCAAGAAUCUUCAUUCAGCCUCUGGAGAUUGUAGUAGAAGCUGUCUGGGACCUGCCUGUAUUCCCUCAACACUUGCAUUUCUGCUUGACUUCUAGUUUCUAUCACCUGGGCAUCUCUGGCCAUCAGUGCCGGUGUGCAGGGGAGGACAAGGGUGCAAGAAAUUAGCUCCUCCCAGAGCAGCUCUCAACCAAUGACCGAUGAGAGUUGGUACGUACAUAGACACCUCGGUUCUCCCACCCUUCCAAGGCAGUAGUCUUGUAAGGGCCUAUUCAGCCAGAGCGGCCCCACCCUGGUUGAACUGCCAUUUUGUUGUAAAACUUAAAUUGACU